CCGCGUCCCCACGCAGGACGCAGCGCCGAGAGCAUCUCUGACCCCGCGGCACUGGGCGGACCCGCGGGGCUUUCAGGUUGGCAGCGCCGCUGGGAAACGCGAAGCGCUGCAGAAGGAGUGAGGGCUGAAGCGCAUCUUUCCACGUGCUUUACUUGGGCUCCCGACCCGGCCCGGCGAUGGAGGCAGUGCGACUGCCAAGCAGAGCACUUCUGUCCUUGUUCUCGCACUGCCACACCGGAGCUUUCAAGUGACUCCCCAUUGAUCCACCCCAGAGCUUUUGGCUCCAGGCCUCAAAAUUCCGAAUCCCAUGUUUUAGGUUGGAUAUUCGGAAACAUUUCUUCUCAGAAGUAGAGGAAACCCGCUCCCUUGUCUAUUUGAAGCAAGCUGUGAUGCGGCCGGUUGUAUUAGUUCUGGCUGGCGCAAAAAUGCGGAAUGAAACCCGAAGUGUGUGGUGUGGGUCCAAAAUAAAUGGUCAACAGCAGAGCCAGCAAAAACCUGCGAGAGCAGACAGUCUGCAAAGAGGAAAAGCUCGGGCUCUACCUGCGGCGCUUUGCAUUUUUUUUCUUUUCCAAUGGGAAAAAUAAGUUCUGGCUUUAAAGAGCUUGGGAAGAGACGCUGGGGGCACUGUGCCUGUUUGUGAUUGCAUGUAUGAAUUGUGAUGAUCCUUGCAUUUUUGUGCGUGUGUGUGUGAAUGCAGCAUCUGUAAGUGGGGGAAGGUGCUUUAUCUCCCGCCCUGCGUUCUCAAAACACAGCAGCUUGAUUUUUAUGUGCCAGAUGUCAGCCUGCCCCGAUUCUCCAUCAGUCAGUUGGGAUGAAAGCCUGCCCAUAUCACAGAGGUGCUGCGAGGAUAACUCUGCUCCUGCACAGGGAAAUCUGGUACCGCAGCGAUAAAGACCCUGUAAAUAUUUACACAGACAGAGCGAGCUCAUGGAAAUGGUACAUUAUUGGCUUAACUUCACUGCAAGGAAGGAGUUGAGAAUGUCACAGAUAUGUUACGUUCACUCUUAUUUUUAAUUAAGCAUCGACAACAUAUUUGGUGCUCCUUCAAGCCACAAGAUUCAGAGAGCUGCUGCUCUGAAUGUUUUACAAACUGCAGGGAAAUACCAAGCCUCAAGCAAAGGCAAGAAGUAACACAGCCACCUUAAGACUAAAUCCUGCUGGUUGGACCUUUACACUUCUAAGCGUUAAUAAAAUAGUGGGGAAAGGCCAACCAGAGGAUAUAAUUUAUUUGAGUAUUCAAAAACCUUCUGACAAACACCCAUACAAGAAACUGUUAAGGAAACUUGGUAACCACAGAAUUAAAAUCUGGGGAUGGAGUAAAUAGCCAAUUCUGGUAGGGAAAGAGAUUAAUAAUGAGGUGCUCCAUAGAUCAGGACGCAGACCAACACUGUUUAAUCCUGUAUUAAUAAUGUCAGGGUGAAGACUGAAGUGGCAAAAGUUGAUGUCAAUAGAAAAGCAGUUAGCUUAGGUCAGAACAGCUCCAGGAGAAUUCAGUAACACAGCAGGACCCUGUGCAGAAGUAGGAGCCCAACAUAGAAGGUGCCCUCAGAACCUGCAGCAGCCCUCCCGCUCCCCCUGGCACCAUCCCACAGCUGUACAAGGGAGAAGGUCGGUAAGCAGGGCACAGGCAGAAGUUUGCACGGCUCAGCUGCUUCCUCGCUCCUCCCAGCGGCUGCCCAGCUCCCACAGCCUGCCGUGCCAAGAGACUGAGCUCCCACUACCAGCCUGUGAAUAAUAUAUCUGAGAGCUUCUCCAGCAAAUGUUUAGAAAAGCCAAUGUGAGUUCCCCAUGGCUUAUUCUCCCCUGAAGACAUACCAAAAGCUCUUCUCGGUCACCUCUCACAGAUACUUAAUGAUUUGGGUUGGAAGAGACUUCAAAGCCCAUUCAAUUCCAU
ensembl:lncRNA